UGUCAAGGUUUUAGGGCUCUGUAUGAUGAUGCCAGAAUGAGGCUUGCGGAGGGCGAUUGAGGUCUGAUAUUUUUUGCUACUCUCUCCAGCACGCAGAUCCGGUGGAUUGCUAUAGAUUCGGAGAUCCCUGUGAUUUAGAGUUACUUGCCAUGAUAGGAAGACAAGAAUUACGGGAAUGUAUGGAACGCUGAUCAACACGAGAUUGAGCGGUAGCUUGCCGGAAUCUAACAGGCCUCCAGCUCUUGAAUCUGCAAACCUGUGGUUUCAACGGGAGUAUUCUCUUAUUUCUAGCUUUGAACGGAAACUUUCUGGAUGGAAGGAUUCCCCCAACUGUUGGCGAGCUCCCAGUGAUCUCGUUUGACGGCACGGGCUUUGACAACAUGACAGUAUUAAGACACAUGCAUCUCAACAACAACAAUCUUUCCGGUGCGAUUCCGACUGCGCUGUCUACGACACCAAAACUAUUUCACCUACUGCUGGAAAAAAACAACUUUCCAGGAGCCAUACCUCCAGAAAUCGGCAGCUUGCUACAGCUGAGAAUCUUGAGACGCGAUAAUAAUAAACUUGAGGGCCCCCGUACCUGAAACCACCAGUCGCCUGGCUUUCCUCGAGCUGUAUGAUGAUUGUCUUACGCUAACUGAUGAAUAUCUGCAGACAUUUGACCAUUACUCUACUUGUUGGGAACUUGCCAGACUUCUGCUUUGCAAAAUCUACAGCUCAUGUUAAUCAAUAGUUUUCCAAGGGAAACCUUGUCAGACAGAUUCCAACGGGGCUCUCCUGCCUUGAGGCGCCGUAAAAGUUUCAAAGACAAGAAUGUUUCCUUGUGACUCUAACCUGCAGGUUUCUGGAGAACCGCUUGAAUGGUGGCAUCGGCCGCGAGUGAUUGGAACUGGUUUCGGUGGAAGAAUCUGUGCCAAUCACAGACGGUCAGGAAGUUCUGUUUGCAACGACAACAAUCCUGACAAGUUUGUGAGAGUGAUAGAAUAUAGAAACCUUCAAUCGGUGCGGUAUAACGAGAAAACUUUGCUACCAGCUUCUUUGCCGAGAAGAAUGAAGUGACAGGGUUGACAACGAUACGGGGCAACAUUCCUCGGCACUUCACACUACUCUGGGCGACUUAUAGCUUCGUCAUGACGAACGCAAACCAUCCAUAAACAGGUGAUAGCCAAACAAACAAGUUUAUGUUUGUUGCACUCUCUGCAUCUACGUCGGAGUUUCAGUUGCGAUAGCGGGUCUCUGUAUCUUUUUUCUCGUUAUGAACAGAAAGCGGACGAGGAGCCCAUGGUGAAAGCUGACUUUCUCAUUUUUCUUUUUCUCCUUUGGUUUCAGCAGCUUUGGGAAGAUUUCUCCCAAGUUCAAAGGUGGCUUAAGAAACUUCUCCAGCCACCACUUGAUUGGUGUCGGUGGCGAUAGCAAGGUAUACAAAGGACAGCUGCACACAGGAUCAGAAGUUGUGGCAAUCAAGCGAGCCCAGAAAGAAUAUCUACAAGGCGUCGAAGAAUUCCGACCUGAGAUCGAGCUGUUUUCACGCUUGCACCACAAGAAUCUGGUGAACCUCAUCGGCUUUUGUACAGAUGAUGGAGAACAGAUGCUCGCGUACCGGACUUUUAAGAGACCAUCUCUAGGAGCAAGCUCUCAACUGAAAGACACGUUUCUCCAUCGCACUUGGCUCUGCAAAAGGGAAAUACCUUCACGAGCUGGCGGAUCCUCGCAUUAUCCACUGAAACAUCAAAUCCUCCAACAUUUUACUGGACAAGAACUUGGUGGCCAAAGUCGCGGGCUUGGGCCGCUCAAAGCUGGCGCCAACUUGUAGCGACAAGACAUAUACCAGUAUCCAAGUGAAGAAACUCUGGUAUGUCUACUUUUCUACAUCUAUCAGCAAAGAGCGAUGUCUACAGCUUUGGAGUGGUGCUCAUCAAGAAGCAGCCGAUUGUUCAUCGUGAAGGAGAUCAAGGAGUCGCUCCCCUGGGGUGGUGUUGCCUUGCUGCUCUCUUUCAUGGACAAUCCGGCUGUGCAUGGAAGAUUCUGACCACAAGAUGAGAGCUUGAGGAGAUGAUCAAGCUGCAAGAGGUGCAUGGCUGAUCACGAACAGAACUGUGACAGUGACGGGAACGAGGCAGCCGAAUAGAGCAGCUUCAACGUUGGUCUUGAAUCUGAAGUGUUCAGCGAUGAGCUCCCAAGCUUUCGCUUUUACGGCAGCUGAGGAGGGAAAAAGGCGAGCCGGAUUGGACCACCGGUGUACAGUGGAGGAUUAAAACGGGGAGGAGGAGAUAUCGCGACAGUGGAGAAGAAUAAAAUACUCGAGGAGAAGAAGAUCAUCACCGUCACCAAGCUGGCUUGCUGAGGAGAGAUUUGGGAAGAACUUCCAAGCGACUGGUGCGGAUUCCUUUCAUCUUUAGGAUGGUACACUACUGCAAAAUGCCAGUGUGAGGCAGGAGGCUGGCGCCAAGCAUCGUGCUCCUGGCUGCGAGCGUGAACCACAAAGAAAACGAAAAAAGAAAGUAUAGAAAACAGGAAGAAAGAUCCAACACUAUGGCCCGGAAGGGAAAAUAUCACCAGCUUUGGUGCGUCGGCUGGAAUGACAUCAUGCACGAGCUCGUUUGGCGACGUCACGUACUCGCCGGGAAGAGAUGGGAGCGAUGAAAAGAUCGGCUGCGAGCUUUGUCUCCAAAGGACGAGCGAGAGAGAGACGAGAGAACUGCGGCUCCAUCUUUUCAUCAAUGCGAGACCGAAAAGAAAGAAAGGAUUGGAAGAUGGAUCACUCCAACCUUGAGACACUGAACUGGACGAGCAGGGAAAGGAGAGCUUGACAAUGCUGUGAUGCA